rnacentral:lncRNA from 1 species
CUCCCUCUUCUUUUUCUCUAUUGUGCUAGAUUUUUGAUUUUAUCGUUGGAGGAUCCUCGUCGGAGCCAACUCCAGUUGGGACUUAUUUUACAGGAAUGUCGCUCCGAUGGUUCUUGACUUCUUCUAGCCGUGUCCGUACGUGGUCAGAAAUCUUCCAUAACAGUAUGAAAUCCGAUGGCGAUUGCCUAAUCUCUUUCUCUCUCUCUGUCUCUAUCUCUAUCUCUACCUGCUCAUUGUCUAAAAAGAGGGGAGGAGUAGGUUAAUGGAAGGGAGAAGAGUGGAUCCUCUAUGGUGCAUUAUUGAUGGACGACCAACAAACAACGUAUGCAUGAGUACAGGCUGUGCAUACAUAUAGAGCAUAUUGUUUGUUAGCCAUCAAUUAUACGAUGGAUGGCCAGCACAAUGCACCACAUACUGC